rnacentral:lncRNA from 1 species
GGUGCGUUUGAUUAUAUUUUUUGAUUUUUAAUUUUUAAAAAAUAUUUUUUAUUUUUUUAAUUUUUAUUAUUCAGUAAAAAUAAAAAAGUAAAAAGUAUAUUUGGUAACUACGUUGCUAUAGAGCAAAAAGCAAUGUUCUCGAUGAGGGAGGAAGAUUCGGAUUCUGUAUUUUUUGGUUUGGCAUUUUAGAUACGUAGAAGC